GCCAGACUCCUACGGGAGGCAGCAGUGGGGGAUAUUGCACAAUGGGGGGAACCCUGAUGCAGCGACGCCGCGUGGGUGAAGGAGCGUUUCGGCGCGUAAAGCCCUAUCGGCAGGGAAGAAGGAGGACGGUACCUGACUAAGAAGCCCCGGCUAACUACGUGCCAGCAGCCGCGGUAAUACGUAGGGGGCAAGCGUUAUCCGGAUUUACUGGGUGUAAAGGGGGCGCAGACGGCAGCGCAAGCCAGGAGUGAAAGCCCGGGGCCCAACCCCGGGACUGCUCUUGGAACUGCGCGGCUGGAGUGCAGGAGGGGCAGGCGGAAUUCCUGGUGUAGCGGUGAAAUGCGUAGAUAUCAGGAGGAAUACCGGCGGCGAAGGCGGCCUGCUGGACCGUGACUGACGUUGAGGCUCGAGAGCGUGGGGAGCAAACAGGAUUAGAUACCCCCGUAGUA
rnacentral:rRNA from 1 species